rnacentral:lncRNA from 1 species
AUUAAGACUAGUUACCAUUCUCUGUAUUUAACCCAGCUAACUGCAUAUAGGAAACUAAAAUUUAUUGGAGAGAUUCUCAGAACCAUACUAGAAACAUUACCGAGGUCUCAUCUAGUUUUCUCUACUGCCUUCCAAGGUUUUUACUGUACAAUUUCUCAUUGAAAACUGCCUCAGCAUUUUUUAAGAAGACAUCACUUCCCCCUUGGGGAAAAAAGAACUCAACGACUUGAAGAAACAGUGACGCUUCAGGUACCUUGAAAAAUUCAGCUCAUUUUGAUGAGAAACAGUCAGUGGGGCUGCCAGGGGUCCUGGCAGAUACUUAGGCAGUGGCUGUCCUGGAUUCCAGGGAAUGGCCCAAACACAGUGGUGCAGGACCCAGGACUCCAUCUGUUCAUUCUUCAUAAGGUUGGCUCACAGGUCAUCUGCUGAGAAGGUCAUCUUCUCCAUCUUCACUGUGCUCACUGAAUGAGGACAUUCCAAGAUCCCAGCUCAUCCCAUUUGAGCUUUCCUUUUCCUAAUCUCAUGCAUCUGUUUUUGAGAAAAUCUUCCCACGUGAUAGAUCUUCUAUUUUCCCAUUUCUUCCAUGUUGUAUUACUUUUUUAUUAUUAAUAAUAAAUGCAUAUUUAUUAUUAAAAUAAAUAAUGUUUUUGGUGUGUACAUGCA